rnacentral:lncRNA from 1 species
CACAGUAUAAGAUCCUAAUGUUGAGUUUAAGGAGAUUAAAUCCCACAAUAAAAAAUAUAAAAUUAAAAUAGUAAUAAAAAGAGUGAAAGGUAAGGGUGGAAGUACCGCAGUAUUUGAAGGUAACCUUAGCUUGAGCGAGAAAAGAAGAGAGGAAGAGGAUUGAGAAGGAUAGAAUAAGGUAGAGGUUGGGAAGAGAGUGAAAUGCCAUCGAUUGCACGAAGAUGAAGAAGAAGAAGAAGAACAACGGAGAGAGUUUAUGCUAACUGUUCUUACUAAACUCCAACACCAAACAUACACAUAGUCAAAUAAGAAUAUUAAUAAUUAUUUCAAAGUUAAACAAUGUGAGGAUGGGAGAAUAAGACUAGUCUCAGUCUCUUAUUAUUAAUUUGAGUAUUUAAUAAGUAAUUAAUCUCUAGGCAUUGUUCUGAAUUAAAAAUUUGACAUUUUGAAUCUUUGAUAUAUGAAAUAAUAUACAUAUAAAUCUUUGAUAUAUGAAAUAAUAUACAUAUAAAUCUUUGAUAUAUGAAAUAAUAUACAUAUAAAUCUUUGAUAUAUGAAAUAAUAUACAUAUAAAUCUUUGAUAUAUGAAAUAAUAUACAUAUAAAUCUUUGAUAUAUGAAAUAAUAUACUUAUAAAUAUUUUGUUAUUAAGCAUAUAUUGUGUUAUUGUGGUAGGAGAGGAGCGUGAAUAAAUCUGAUGUUGAAUUAAUCUCGUUUAUUGAUUUGUAGCCACAUUCUCCCAUAGAUAGCAGCUAAGUUAAGGACUUCAUAUCUUUAUUCACCAUCAAGUAUUUAUGGUAGAGACUAGAGUGCAUAAAACUCAUUUUUUUUAAGUUUUUUACUGAACUAUUUUUUCUUCAAAUGCCUCUUAAAUUUUAUAUGUUAAUUAAUAAAAUUAACAUGUAUAAAUUUUAUUAUUAAUAUGACAAGAAAGAAACUGAUAUUAUCAGGAAGAGCAAUGCAAUAAUGGAUGUUAACCCAAUAAUGAUGAUUUGAAGAAAACCAGUAUCAAAAUAUAAAUAAUUUGAGAAAAUAAUAAAUAAAUUGAGUUAAAAUGUGUCACACAAUAAUAUUAAUAUAUAAAAAGUAAAAUUAAAUAAUAGGUUAAAAUAAAAUAGAUGUAUCAAGGCCAAAUUUCAUCAACAAUUAAGAUUUAGAGAUAAUUAGAAAGAGAAAUAGAUGGUAUUUAAGCUACGGGUGCUGGGACCUCUCUUGCAUAACAUGAAAAUUUAAUUUAGAACAAAACCUUCUUUAACGGAAUUUUUAAUUGAAAAAAUCAUUCGAAAAUAAUUGAUUUUUUUUCUUGAAGAUGGAACAUAAUGUAACUUUGAAAUACUGUUUAAUGAAGAAGAAGAAAAUCAUCUAUAUCGGAAUAUAUAAGAAUUGAAGAUAACUUAUUUCCUAAAAAAUAUGAGAAAUAAUUUAUUUCAACCAGUAAAAGUAUACUAUUUUAUAUUAUUUUAAAAAUAUUUUCAUAAAAAUAAUAAAAUAUAACAUUGUGUUAUGGUCCUUAUAAGAAGAGAGUAUUAUUCUCUAAGCACCUGCAGACACCCCCAAUUAUUACUUAAUUUUGCUUCAAAAGCUUAAUGUUUAUUGGGAGAAUAUUCCGGGAUUCACUUCCAUUUCCCCUGGAGAAUAAAUUUAGUCAACUGGAAUAGCUAAAACAGGAAUGUUCCAAAAAACCACCAAAAUAUGGAAAAUAUAAAAUGAAGUAUAUAGCAUGUCCUAGAAGGAAAAUAUCCCUUUUUGACAACAAAAUAAAAGAGUUACAGGUACACUCUUCACUUUCUCAUAACCAUAUCAAUCAAACACUACUUAUGUUGUCCACACUACCGUUAAAAAAGACAGUAACAUAACAUCAUCAUUAUCUGAAAUUCUACUUGUGCCACAGAUGUCACUACUGCUGGGCACACUGUACCCUCUGUGCACCACCAGGCAUAUCAUCAUCCUCAUCAUAUGCUUCCUGCUGAGCUUGUUGCUGCUUCCUCCUUGACUCCUCUUCCAUGUUCACGUCAUUGAGUGUGGUCUCCUCACAUUCAUCUAGCUCCAUGUCUGUUAAUUGUGAUGAAGGCUUUGGUGGCAGGACAGCCUCUAAAGCCUUAACCUGAUCGAGACUUAGAGAUUCAGGGAACUCCACGUUGAAGUGAAUGUAAAGCUUCCCUUUCAUGAAUGGCCUCUGAUACAAUGGCAUUCCUUCAUCGUUAAUUGCCUUGUAUGAAUCUGCAUACAUAAACAAGCAAAGCAUAAGAAACUCUUCUCUAGCACAUAAUUGAAUUGCUAUUUUAAUCACACAGCAAAAUUGAGCCAUGGGAAUGGCAGAUGAAACUAUUUUCAUACCAGGCUUAAUAACUUCACCAGGGUUGGAUUUGAUAAGGAGCUGACGGCCAUCCAAGUGAGACAGCACAAAUUGGAAGCCACACAAAGCAUCGGUGAGGGACAAAGUGUGCUCCACAAUGAGAUCUUCGGCCUUUCUCUUGAACUUGGGAUGUUCCUUCUGCUGAAGCACAAAGACAAUAUCCCCAGUAACUGUGUCUGGCUGCAAAAACACAAACAGCUCCAAGUCAGUCUAAUUUCAUCUAUCGAAGCAAAUUAAUGUCAAUUAACACCAAUACUCGCAACAUACCGCUUCAUCGGCUUCACCAGGGAAUGUAAUCUUCUGGCCAUUCUGCAUCCCCUUCUCCACAAUAACUUCAAGUACUUUCUUCUCUUGAACAACCUUUUCUCCCUUGCACUGAGGGCAGCGGUCCCUGUCAUUGAUGAUGUCCUAUUUCAUCAUUUUCUAUAAAAAUAUUUCUAAAACAAAACAAAAUAAUACACAUGUCAUACUUGUAUUGACCAGAUGAGAUAAGUUAUUUCAUUGUAUGAGGAGUUUAUUGUCUUAAAAUAAAGGGUGAAAAAUGAAAAAUAAAUAGAAAAAGUAGAUUAAAAAAUGGAGAGAUUACCCGAAGAAGCUGAGAUCUUGAAGUUAGCCGGGUUACCACUGACAACAGGAUUUGGUGAUAUUUCAAUUCCAGACACUUUCACAUCAUAAUUUCCCUUCUUAUCUGCAUAUACAUUUUUUUAGCAAACAAAUAAAUAGACAAAAAAUUACCAAAAUCUAAAUCAAAUCUGAACAAACAUGACCCCAGCUUCCAGCACUGAAGCACACACAUGACACCACAAAAUCACACAAAAAUUAAACUCAACUUAAUAGAAAUCCACUACAUAAGAGUCAAAUCAACUACAUAAGAGUCAAAUCCACUAAAAUCCCUCAGAAUUGAAGAACUAUGCAAUUUCAUAAAAAUGAAAUUAAAGAAACACAGUAUAAGAUCCUAAUGUUGAGUUUAAGGAGAUUAAAUCCCACAAUAAAAAAUAUAAAAUUAAAAUAGUAAUAAAAAGAGUGAAAGGUAAGGGUGGAAGUACCGCAGUAUUUGAAGGUAACCUUAGCUUGAGCGAGAAAAGAAGAGAGGAAGAGGAUUGAGAAGGAUAGAAUAAGGUAGAGGUUGGGAAGAGAGUGAAAUGCCAUCGAUUGCACGAAGAUGAAGAAGAAGAAGAAGAACAACGGAGAGAGUUU